GACCCAGGUCUAAGGAGAAGCUGUGCUGUGCCUACCAUGGCUUGGACUCCUCUCACCUUCAUAAUUCUAUCUUACUGUACAGGUUCCUUUUCUCAGUCUAUACUGACACAACCAACCUCUAUCUCUGAGGCUCUUAGAUCAACAGCCAGACUCACCUGCACUCUGAAGAGUGGCAUCAAUGUUGGUAGUAAAAACAUUUACUGGUACAAGCAGAUGCAGGGGAGCUCUCCCCAGCUUUUUCUGUACUACUACUCAGACUCAGACAAGAAGCUGGGGCCUGGAGUCACCGAUAGAGUCUCUGGAUCCAAAGAUACCUCCAAAAAUGCUGCAAAUUUGCACAUCUCUGAGCUACAAGCAGAUGAUGAGGCUAACUAUUACUGUGCCAUAUGGGAAAAUGAUGUGUCUCACAGUGAUACAAGCAGAUGGGGAAGUAGGCAUAAACUGUAG